AGAAGAUCAGUUUGACACUUUAUGUCUAAGUGGAUGCAAUCUCUUUGGAGAAAAGCAAGCAGCACCCAAUGAAAAUGCAAAAGAGAAGGCUAGUGUGGUAUAUCUUUUAAGGCUGUUAAGGCAAACUAGUUAACUCUUUUUUUUUUUUUUUUUUUUUUUUUUUUUCCAUAAGAAAUAUCUUUGGUGUCAUGCCAGGGGUACCAAUGGAGUCCCAGAGGAAUGAAUUUCAACCCUGCAGUCUCAAGAGUUGGGCCUCCAGCUGGCUGUAUACAGAUGUACUUAAUCUAAGUGUUGUCCUUACUGGAACAAACUCCCCUUGGAGUGAUUCCCAUCUUGUCUGUAGGGAGAACCCAAUGUCCAAGAAACCAGGAGCAAACGAAUGCAAGGCUGGUUUGCCACUUGGAGAGGCCAGACAAGAGAAAAUGCUCAUCAUUGCACUGGACUUCCAGGAUGAAAUUAUGCAGUAUCUGCUCUAAUAAAAUGAUCUGGUGAGACCUGCUGUUCCUUGGGCAUUAUCAGUCAACUGGGAGCUCAACAGCACAAAAGAGGUGGAUCUCUCUCUGAGCUGAGUACUUGGAACCUCUCUAAAUUUAGGCCAUGUCUACAACUGAAUUUCAGCUUUUUUAGCUGAUGAAUUAACGAAUGGUAUGCAACUGUGAAUUGGAACUACUCAUUUUUU
rnacentral:lncRNA from 1 species